UUAUUUGAGGACUCUAUCUGGUUUUAUAGUAGGAUCUGUAUAUACUGUUGGAGUAGCUGCUGUUAAUAAUAUAGGAACUGGUUCUAUUACGUCAACUACAAUAACUAUACUUGCUACACCACCACCACCUGAAAUACCUUCAACUAGUACAUCUUAUUAUUCCCUUACUUCAGGCAUUAGUUCAACUCCAAGUACUACUGAAAUUACUCCUAGUGUUUCUGUUACUGAAGGUUGUAAUCCUGCCUCCAGUACUACUGUACCUAUUGCAGUUAGUGUAUCAGUGACAUUUAUACUGACAGCUAUACUGUCUUCAACACUGACACUAAUACUGACACUGCUGUGUGUGAGGAGCAGAUCAAAUAAACCAGUUGAACAGGUUAAACCAGUUGAAUGGGUUAAACGAGAUGAGGGAGGAACAACAGCAUCAGUUGCUGUGUAUGAUGAGAUCACUACUACUAAAGGAGGAGCCACCAGUUCUGUUCCACUAACAAGUAAUCCAGCUUAUGGACCAUUGAGAAAUUAAUGUACUCAUUUCAAGUUGUUUUUGUGUUUAACAUAGUGUGAUUAUAGUCACUUAAUAAAUUUUUCUAAUCUUUUAUAUUAUUAAAUUUUGCAUUGUUUUUUCUAGUUCUGACCUUUUGACAAUAAAAAAAAUUUUUUUUCUCAA